rnacentral:rRNA from 1 species
CUACGUGCCAGCAGCCGCGGUAAUACGUAGGGUGCGAGCGUUAAUCGGAAUUACUGGGCGUAAAGCGAGCGCAGACGGUUACUUAAGCAGGAUGUGAAAUCCCCGGGCUUAACCUGGGAACUGCAUUGGUGACUGCAAGGCUAGAGUGUGUCAGAGGGAGGUGGAAUUCCGCAUGUAGCAGUGAAAUGCGUAGAUAUGCGGAGGAACACCGAUGGCGAAGGCAGCCUCCUGGGAUAACACUGACGCUCAUGCACGAAAGCGUGGGGAGCAAACAGGAUUAGAUACCCUGGUAGUCCACGCCCUAAACGAUGUCUACUAGUUGUCGGGGAUUAAUUUCCUUGGUAACGCAGCUAACGCGUGAAGUAGACCGCCUGGGGAGUACGGUCGCAAGAUUAAAACUCAAAGGAAUUGACGGGGACCCGCACAAGCGGUGGAUGAUGUGGAUUAAUUCGAUGCAACGCGAAAAACCUUACCUACGCUUGACAU